rnacentral:piRNA from 1 species
AAACUCGACUGCAUAAUUUGUGG